rnacentral:lncRNA from 1 species
GGCUGUGGAUAAAGACUGUGAAGACUGCACAGGGUCUGAUCUAGGGAGAGGCCAACUCUGAUACCCCUAUGUGCGCUGCUAGGAGCUAAGGACAUUCAGCUGAUACAGAGUGGAGUGCUGAGAACCUGCUGUGACAGGAUGAAGGAUCUGUGUGUCCCUGGCCCUUUUCAAGGUGGCAAGCAGGGACCUGAACUAUUUAACUACAAGUCAUAAAGUCCAGGAAGAAGAUGUGAGCACAGGCAUCGCAUCUCCUCUACCUUGGGAAACUCUGCUCCUUUUAUAAGCCUCCCAUGCCAAUUUCAGUACUAUUUCCCGACACCAGCCAGCCUUUGUGAGGGUCUCUGGAGUCACUCCUACAAGGUCAGCAACUAUAGCAGAGGGAGUGGCCAGUGCAUCCAGAUGUGGUUUGACUCAACCCAGGGCAAUCCCAAUGAGGAAGUGGUGAAGUUCUAUGCUUCCUUUAUGACAUCUGGGACUGUGUACCAUGCAGCAAUACUUCUUGUGCCCAGCCUGGCCCCAGUGCUGUCAUUAUGGCUCCCUGACUGAGGCCAGUCUUCUCCUCUAGCUACCCUUGGUCUCGGUUGGUUCAACUCUUCAAAGAAUAAGGAAGUCUUGAGCCUGCUUCCACCCCUCUCCUCUGCCAUCCAGUUCCUGAUCCAUGUUGGGGCUUGGGGUUUCUACAACAAUCAUUUUCAAUAAAUCUAUGACACAUCU